AUUACCUGGAUAUCCACGGNAAUUCUAGAGCUAAUACAUGCGUCCAGACCCNACUUUUGCGGAAGGGUUGUGCUUAUUAGACACUGAACCAUCCCGGCUUGCCCGGUUUCGAGGUGAUUGAUGGUAAUCGAACGAAUCGCAUGCUUCGGCGGCGAUGAUUCAUUCAAGUUUCUGACCUAUCAGCUUCCGACGGUAGGGUAUUGGCCUACCGUGGCUUUGACGGGUAACGGANAAUUAGGGUUUGAUUCCGGAGAGGGAGCCUGAGAAACGGCUACCACAUCUAAGGAAGGNAGCAGGCGCGCAAAUUACCCAAUCCUGACACAGGGAGGUAGUGACAAGAAAUACCAAUAUGAGGCUCUUUUGUCUUGUAAUUGGAAUGAGCACAAUUCAAAAAGCUGUUCGAGUAU
rnacentral:rRNA from 1 species